UAUUGUAUUGUAUAGGAACUAAAAGAAAAGGAUCAAGACUUACUACAACACACUGAGGUUAUUUCUUAUAUUAUACUUAAAGAAGCUGAAUAUAAACUAAGAGAUAUUAUCAGUAGCAAAGAGAAGGAAAGAAUUGAAUUGAAACAAGAAAUAUCAUUAAUGGUUCCAGUAACUGAGGAGGAAUCAUUGUCUGUUCAAAGUGAUAUUGAAUCAAUUAAAGACAUUGAGGAAGAACCACUUUAUGAAGAAUUGACUGUAUUGAGGUCUCAGUUUAAUGAGAUAAAAGAAGAAAACAAAGAAUUGUCAGACAAAUUAUCAAAAAUGAAGAUUGAGUAUUUGAGAUC